ACUAGGAAGCUUAUCAGGAACCCACGCAGUCUGCCUUUCUGUCUUCUCCAAGGAGAAGGCUGAGAGGGGAGAGAACAAGCAAAUGCGCCAAAGCCGUAAAUCUGCACGACUACCGCCUGCCCCUGCCAUCCUGCCACUGCAGUGAAAAAAACGUUAAAAAAAAAAAACUUAAAAUCUAUAAAACACCGAGGCUUUUAUUGUUUGAAUUCAGAACCUUCUGCUAAGGAGAAGCUUUUAAACUCCCAGAAUCCAAGAACCUCUCCCGUUCCUGAUGACCAAGAAUGUCGGAACAGGGAAGACGAGCAAAAUCCCAGAAGCAAAGGAAAAAGAUGAUCAUGGUAACGUGACAAUUUCCAUCGCUGCAGCUGGAGAGAGGCGUAGCUCUUGCCAACAUCCGCUGACGUCUCCCUUUGCCAACCCCUAAAAUAGAAACCCCUGAGAAAAAACAGGAGCAUCCCUCAGAAACACAAGAAGUCUGUCUAAGAUUUGGUUACAUGUAAAGAUUGGCUUCUGCUGGCUUUGCUCUUACAGAAUUCCCACCGAGCUGCUUGCCUGCCUCUGAGUCACUCAGCAGCCAGCCUCCCUCUUUGGGAAAAGAAACAUGUGUAAACUUGCUGAACAAGUCUCUCAGACUCCGAUUUGACUCUGCAAUGCCAGGCAACUGGGGUGACUGACAAUGGAAUGUUCUCUAUGAAAAACCAGAUGCCUGUUGUGACCAGAUGGUGAAAAUAAGUUUCUAUUACCUUGUAACUCUCUCUCUUGUGUGUCUGCACACACACACACACACACACACACACACACACACAGACACACACACACACACACACACACACACACCUUUCUCAUCUCUGUAUCAUGAAGCUUCUGGAAGUGCUUCUCUGUUUUUAUGCAUAUUAUGCCUAUUUAUAUAGCAAACAACUGAGAACGUUUCUACAUAUGUUUUCAAGGUCCCUGCCUGCUACUGAAACUUUUCUAUUUUCAGCUCCUUUUUACCAGUCCAUUUUCAACAGAAUCCAUGGAAUAUAUAUUGUCCAGAAAAGAGUCUCUCGUAAAGAAAAAGGAUGGUAUUUGUAGUAUCAUUCAUAAUACAUGUAGCAGUGGAAAGUAAUAAAGCUGCAUCAAAACAUGAAGAUGAGGACUUGAGUUUAGAUGCCUGGCAUCCACACACAAAACUAGGCAUGGUGGUGUGCAUGUGUGAUCAUCAUGGCUGUGAAAAUUGAGAGGUGCGUGGGUUCGUGGAACUCAGCUGCCACCAUACUAGUCAAUUGGUGAACAUCAGUGAGAAGCCCUUUGUUAAAUAUUAUGGACACACAGAGAGAUAGAAAACAACCUGUAUUCCUUUCCUCAAACACAGGCAUGUACACACCUAUACACACACGCAUGUGUGCGUGCGCGCGUGUGCACACACACACACACAUAGAGUUCAUAUACAAAUAUGAAGCAUUAAGACUACAUCAGACAUAAGCAGGAAAGAGAAAAAAGAAUACUCCUGAGAAAGUAGAAAUAAGAAUGGUAGGCUAAAGAUGAAUGAAAUGGAAAUUUUAAAUGAGUUUAAAGAAUUAACCGGGAGGGGGGGUGACACAAUAGAAAACAGAAAGGAAUACAGAAGUAUGAAUAGCUGGUGUCCCAAGGGGACAGCAAUAACACAUUCAAUGAUGCACUGUAAGAAAGUUUUCCUGAAACUUAGUAGGAGAAAAUGAAAACAGAUUGACCUCAAUAUGCAUCUAAGUAUAGGAGAGGAUGUAGAGUAAAAUGUUCCAGAGGCAUGUCCAACAAAUUACAAUGUCUGAGCAGGCUCUGAACUAGCAAAAGUGAACAUUGAUCAUACAUCUGUCCAUGUCCGGGGUGCUCUCAUGUGUACUGCUACACCCAGGCAAGUGUUCCUCACGCUGUCCGUCUUGCUCAGGCAAGUGACCGUCCUCAAUGUUACUACUUCUUUUAUGAUCUUUUCCUUAGUUUAAAGAUCAUGACACAAAGGAGUUCCCCAGGUCUCCCUGGAGAAAGUGGCAAGAUGGGAAAGGCUACACAGACUAUAUUUAGCAGCAGCAAUAGGCAAAGGGAGAAAGAUAUAGUCUCUGAAACUGAUACUUGGUUGAGGUCUGGGGUAGUGGUGGUGAAAAUUGUAGUGUCUAGUACUUGGUAGCAACAAGUACAAUUUCUUUUUUGGAUUGUCUUAUUUUGUCUUUAUUUUGGGUGUUCAGGUGCACAGAGUUGAGUUAUAAUAAUUGUGUGCCUAAGAUUAUAAUGAUUGGUUCAUAUAUGGCAACCCUUUUCAAAACUUUCAUUCUUUAUUUCCCAAAUUAUUUCACUUUCAGGGUAUAAGUAAAAUUAUAAAUGUGACUAUAUUGGUACGCAUGUACUCGUGAAAAAGUUAAAUACAUAAAUCUGCAUGUAUCCAGUCUGCUUACUUUUACUUUAGGAACAUGUAAUUUUAAUUAACAAAAUAGUUUAGGGUUGCAGAACUCAUCCCGUCUUAAUAUGCUGUGUCAAUAUAGAGUUCCGCAUCUGUCUAUGAUGCUUUUCAUAUAUCUGCCUUUGGGGUGUUGCCUGUGUUUCUUUGGCUUCUGCUUCGUGAGAUUGCAUGCUACCCACACUAGUUUUGCAAACCCUUUUCCCCAAGGAACGGACAAGUGAAUUUCUUUUUACUCUAUGCAUCAAAAUAAUGGUUUGAUAUCUGUGCUGCUAAUCUAAUCUUUGUAAAUUGGUGUGAGAAUUUCAUUGAGAUGUGUUUCCGGCCCCAUGUUAGUGAAUCAUAUGGUAGGCUCAGUGUUAAUGUAGCUGAGAAGUUGUAGUCUCAAGCAGAACACAUGGAGGAUGAUGGAUAAAGGGAUGACUGAUGCCAAAAACAUGACUGUCAGAUUUUCUAGUUUUUACUAAUCUGACAGACAUUAAGUUGUGUGUUUUUCUAACAAGCAGUGGUAUUGUAUACCUGUUUGUGAACAUAUUAUGCCCACAUGCCACUUUUCUGUGGAAUUUCUUCCUUAACUGGUUUGAAGUACCAAAUCAUAUAGGUUACAUGCCCAUUAUUUAUACUUAAAGGCAUUGCAAGUAUCUUUUAUGAAUAUGUCUCUAAACUCUACCUAUAAUGUUUUUCAUUAGACAGAAGUAUGUGUAUUUGCUAUGUCCUUCUUUCCCCAACUUUUGUGUUUGUGGUAUUUCCGAAGUAGGAGGAUCUUAAAAGCAUUCUGUUUGUAGUUUUUAUUUUCAUUGUCUUUUACCUUUUAAUGCAAGAUCUCUUCAUUUUGUCCACCUUAGUAGUAACAAGAUGUAUUUUAUGUGAUAAAGAGAGCCUUUCCCCAAUACUAUUUUGCAGCUAAUUUUUGCCCAAUGAUUUUGGAUACCACGUUUACCAUGGAUACUAAAUUCUCAGUUCUAUUUAAGUCUUUUGAGGAAUUAUGUUCUGUAGGUCUAUAUUCCUAUUCAUAUAUUAUUUGGCACUUUGAUGAUGAUCAUGGAUUUAUUCAUAUGCCAAAGCAUAUCUAAACCAAAUAAAGUCAAAUUUGUACUGUUUAUUUUAUAUCAAUUAAACCUUAGUAUGAUUGUUAGAACACUAA